CCUUUGAUGGAGCUUAUAUUUUAAGGAGAGUUUCCUUCUGGCUCCUGUCCAGCCUGAACACAAGUCCUGGAACAACGAGCUGGGACAUGGAGGUGAGGUCAAACAUGGCCCGAACCACAUCAUGCGGGCUGUCAGUGGCUCUCAGGCCCUUUCCUCUGGAAGAAUAACCUUCUUCAACUCUUCAGGAGUCACUGAGAAUUUAGUAGGACCCAACUUCCAGCCAUUUGGUCUUCUGGGGACAGUGACUUCUCGUGGCUGGGUUCAACUUGGUGAGUGUCUAUCAGAGGGACUCUGAAGUCAAACUCUGGGAAAAGGCAGAAUUCUGACAUUCCCCAAAACUCUGGACCCAAGCAUGCCUGACGUCACUACAUAGCAUCUUCAGGACACAAAGAGAAUCCUACCCGGCACCAGCAGAUGGAACCCAGCUGGAACUUGCGUUCAGUCGCUGUUCUCAUCUGACGGUUCUCCGCUUUUAACUACGAAGGGCGCAUCAAGCUCUUUGUGAUCCAAGCUCAACAUCGAGCCGCGUUGCCUUAUUUUCUUUUACAAGGGUUCCUCAUAAACCCAGAGAUUAUCAUCUCAUCUACACCAGCUGGCCAGUGAGUCCUAGGGAUCCACCUGUCCCAAAUCUCAAGAACCGGGAUUACAAGUAUGACCCACAAUCACCCUGGGGUCUUCAUGCAUACAGGCAAGCACUUUGCUGCCUGAGCUGACUCCUCAGCUCUGAAGGCACUUUUUAAGGAAACAUUUCCGUGGAUCUCUAGUUCUGGGUCAUGUGCCCUUUGACUUACUUCCACAGCACACCCAAACUACCAUCGCUGUGACUUCCCUCGGCAGCUGCUGCUUCUGUUGAUUUGUGUGCACUGUCGUAGGCUCUACUCUUACACGAAUUUGCAAAUAUCACUCAUCGCAGGCCCAGUUACAAGAUGAACUACCUAGCACCCACAUGGAGCAGCUCACAAAUGCCUUUACCUCCAGCUCUAAAGAAUCUGCCAUCACUUCUGGACUCUGCAACACUUAUAUCCACCUGCACAAACUCGCAUGCACAUACACAUACACAUAUACAUACUUUUUAUUUAAAAAAUCUUUGAAAACCAGCAUGACAGAAAAAGACAAAUAUCAAUCAUAUGGAUAAAUUUAACUGCAUUUUCAACUAAUGACAGCCAAAAAAAAAAAUUCUGAAUUUUGUCUGAGUAGUUAAAAAAAACAAAGAAAAGAAAAUGCUGUUGGCUUCAGACAUCUUUCAAAGAGAGUCAUGGUAUGGAGGAAGUUAAGGAAGGACUGGGCAAAUGAACUAGAAGAAAGAAAUCAUGAGUGCAUUUGAAGAUUCAAAGAGUUUUGAGGUCAGCCUGGUCUACAAAGUGAGUCUAGAACAACCAAGGCUACACAGAGAAAUCCUAUCUUGAUAACCAAACCAAACUAAACCAAACCAAACCAAACCAAAACAAAACACAGCAAUAAGCCAAAGUGUAAAGGUGUCAAAGAAAGUGAGGCUAUGCCAGGGUGCCAGUUUUGGGUAAAGGUAUGUCCACUAUUUACAUCCCCAGGCUCAGAGCACAGCACUGCUGACCUCGAGAAGCAGAUAGAAUUUGGAAACUGCAAAGAGGAGCUGCCAAAACCACAUGAGAAGCAAGAUCAAGUGAAAUGCAAGCCAGCUGGGAUACAGAAGGCAACAGAGUCACAACAAUAUUCACAGUAAUGAGUUAUGGGCUCUAACAACAGACAGUGCCUCUACUUCAGGUACACAUGACGUGUUCAUUAACUUGAUCAUAGCACAGUCUUCAGGAAAAGUCUUAUGUGUUCCAGAGAUGAAGGUGCUGCCCAGAAGCUAAUGUCUUGCUACAGCAAAGUCAAACCAGAAAAAAAUAACAUCGACCUAAAAAUAGCCCUCGAAGGCUUGGGAGAUAGCUCAGAUGGUGCCUUGCAAGUGAGAGGAUCUGAGUUUGAUCUCUAGAACUGGCAUAAAAGCCUGACAAUGUGGCACAUAUUUGGAAAUUCAGUAUGGAGGAGACACCUGGCUCCCUGGUCAGCCAGUGUAGCAGAAACAGCACAUUCCGGAACAGUGACAGUUCUUGUCUCCAUAAAAGAGAGAAUGAGUAGGAUGCCUGGCACUGACCUCUGGUUUGCACACAUGCAAGCAUAGGUGAGCAUACCUAGACACACAUGCAUUUCCCCCUACACACACACACACACGCACACACACACACAUACCUUUUUAAGUCAACCUUUGGGUUAUGGAACUACUCAGGGAGUUAUGGUAAGGAACUGGAGAGAUGGCUCAGCAGUUAGGAGCAUUUGCUGCUCUUGAAGAAGACCUGGGUUUGAUUUCCGUGAUGGCUCACCACUGUCAAUAACUCCAGUUCCAGGGGAUCCACUGCCUUCUUCAUGACUCGAGGAGCUCAGCAUGCAUGUGAUAUACAGACAUACAUGUAGCCAAAAUUUAUGCAAGUAAAAUAAAAUAAAGUAAAUAUAUCUAAAAAAGAAUUGACAAUUUUUUUACUGGCUUUUAAACUUAGGAAAAAAUGAAUAAUAAUGAUAAAAACACAAAAACUCAGAACUGAUGGCAUCACUUAGGGAAAAAGUAAGUAAUAAUAAUAAACUUAAAUCCUGGAAGUAAAUGAGUUAACAACUCAAGGUCUAGAGCAACAAAACAAAGCAAAGCAAAGCAAAGCAAAAGAACACAGAAGGACUUCAUGAAAGCAGAAUUAAAUUAGAAAGUGAAGAAAGACUAGAACCAACAAAUAACUGGAAAAAUCACUUAUUUAAAAAUAACGUAACUGGGUGGGACAGCAUGUGCCUAUAAUCCCAGUACUCAAAGAGGCAGAGGCAAGUGGAUCUCUGUGAAUUUGAGGCCAGCCUGGUCUACAAAGUGAGUCCAGGACAGCCAAGGCUACACAGAGAGAUUCAAGACAGAGGGAUCCUAUCUUGAAGAAAACCAAUAAUAAUAAUAAAUAAAAUAACAAUAAUAAAAUGAAUGGACAAGCCACUGACUUGCCUAGAUGAGAUAAAAGACAAGCAAAUGCAUAAGAAUUAGAAGAAACCACAUGUGUGGAUACUUUUCAAAAGAGAGGACAUUUAAAGCCACCAGAGACUGUUUUACAUAAUUUCAAGCAAUUAAAUUCAAAGCCUUAGAUGAAGUGGUCAUUUUUUUUUUUCCAGAGAGUAGAACCUCAGUAGGCACAUUGUAGGACUCACAAAGAAACUGCUGAUGAACCAUUCCUAGUUCCCCAAGCACAGAGAAACCUGGAUGAAAGGCUCAGGGCAAAAGGAAGAGGCACUCUUCUGCAAUGCUGCGUCCACAACAGCAGAGCUAAUGACAUGUGAAGGUGUCGAAAUCAAAGGAUGCUACAGCACCCAGCAGGCCUCAGCUGCUCAGCUUGGGUCAACCGGUCCAUAGCUUUGAAAACUGGCCAACAGCAAAGAAAAUUUUCCUUAUCCUCUCUUCAGGGAACCAUACUACUUGGUACACAAAUAGAAGGAGAAGGUAAAUUUUUCAUAUAGCAGGAUCUGGGGAACACAUGAACACUCUUUUGUAAUCUGCAAUGAAUUAACACAUCAAGGGAUCUAUCAUCAAACAUCUGCCAGCAUCAA